GAUGAACGCUGACAGAAUGCUUAACACAUGCAAGUCAACUUGAACUUCGGUUUGGGUGGCGGACGGGUGAGUAACGCGUAAAGAACUUACCUCACAGAUAGGGACAACAUUUGGAAACGAAUGCUAAUACCUAAUAUUAUGAUUUUAGGGCAUCCUAGGAUUAUGAAAGCUAUAUACGCUGUGAGAGAGCUAUGCGUCCCAUUAGCUAGUUGGAGAGGUAACGGCUCACCAAGGCGAUGAUGGGUAGCCGGCCUGAGAGGGUGAUCGGCCACAAGGGGACUGAGACACGGCCCUUACUCCUACGGGAGGCAGCAGUGGGGAAUAUUGGACAAUGGACCAAGAGUCUGAUCCAGCAAUUCUGUGUGCACGAUGAAGUUUUUCGGAAUGUAAAGUGCUUUCAGUUGGGAAGAAAAAAAUGACGGUACCAACAGAAGAAGUGACGGCUAAAUACGUGCCAGCAGCCGCGGUAAUACGUAUGUCACAAGCGUUAUCCGGAUUUAUUGGGCGUAAAGCGCGUCUAGGUGGUUAUGUAAGUCUGAUGUGAAAAUGCAGGGCUCAACUCUGUAUUGCGUUGGAAACUGUAUAACUAGAGUACUGGAGAGGUAAGCGGAACUACAAGUGUAGAGGUGAAAUUCGUAGAUAUUUGUAGGAAUGCCGAUGGGGAAGCCAGCUUACUGGACAGAUACUGACGCUGAAGCGCGAAAGCGUGGGUAGCAAACAGG
rnacentral:rRNA from 1 species